rnacentral:rRNA from 1 species
UGAGGAAUAUUGGGCAAUGGAGGAAACUCUGACCCAGCCAUGCCGCGUGAGUGAAGAAGGUUUUCGAAUUGUAAAGCUCUUUCGGAUGUGAAGAUGAUGACGGUAACAUCUAAAGAAGCCCCGGCAAACUUCGUGCCAGCAGCCGCGGUAAUACGAAGGGGGCAAGCGUUGUUCGGAAUUACUGGUCGUAAAGGGUGUGUAGGCGGGAAAGUAAGAUAGUGGUGAAAUGCCUGAGCUCAACUUGGGAACUGCCAUUAUAACUAUUUUUCUAGAGUGACAGAGAGGAUAUUGGAAUACCCAGUGUAGAGGUGAAAUUCGUAGAUAUUGGGUAGAACACCGGAGGCGAAGGCGAGUAUCUGGCUGUCAACUGACGCUGAGGCACGAAAGCAUGGGGAUCAAACA